UACGUAGGGGGCAAGCGUUGUCCGGAUUUAUUGGGCGUAAAGAGCGUGUAGGCGGCCAGGUAGGUCAGCUGUGAAAACUCGAGGCUUAACCUCGAGACGCCGGCUGAAACCCUCUGGCUAGAGUCCGGAAGAGGAGAGCGGAAUUCCUGGUGUAGCGGUGAAAUGCGUAGAUAUUGGGAGGAACACCAGUGGCGAAGGCGGCUCACUGGACCGGUUCUGACGCUGAGGUGCGAAAGCGUGGGGAGCAAACAGG
rnacentral:rRNA from 1 species